rnacentral:rRNA from 1 species
GACGAACGCUGGCGGCGUGCCUAAUACAUGCAAGUUGAGCGCUGAAGGUUGGUACUUGUACCGACUGGAUGAGCAGCGAACGGGUGAGUAACGCGUGGGGAAUCUGCCUUUGAGCGGGGGACAACAUUUGGAAACGAAUGCUAAUACCGCAUAAGAACUUUAAACACAAGUUUUAAGUUUGAAAGACGCAAAUGCAUCACUCAAAGAUGAUCCCGGGUUGUAUUAGCUAGUUGGUGAGGUAAAGGCUCACCAAGGCGAUGAUACAUAGCCGACAUGAGAAGGAGAUCGGCCACAUUGGGACUGAGACACGGCCCAAACGCCGACGGGAGGCAGCAGUAGGGAAUCUUCGGCAAUGGACGAAAGUCUGACCGAGCAACGCCGCGUGAGUGAAGAAGGUUUUCGGAUCGUAAAACUCUGUUGGUAGAGAAGAACGUUGGUGAGAGUGGAAAGCUCAUCAAGUGACGGUAACUACCCAGAAAGGGACGGCUAACUACGUGCCAGCAGCCGCGGUAA